GCUGGGCACAGUAGCGCAUGCCUGUAAUCCCAGCGUCUUGGGAGGCCGAGGCAAGAGGAUCAUGAGUUCAAAAGUAGGCCUCAGCAAAGGCAAGGUAUUAAGCAACUCAGUGAGACCCUGUCUCUA
rnacentral:sRNA from 1 species